UACAUACAUACAUACAUACAUACAUACAUACAUACAUACAUAUUUGUGUGUAACAAAAAUUAACACGAGACACUUUCUCAAGACAAAUACUGUAGUUUCGAUAGUAUAUCUUCGUUAAGUAAUAUUGCAGCACUUGGAUCCCAUCGGUGAAAAAGCUUUUAUUCUGUUGACCAACAAGGUUAUCAACAACAGAUAUGACGUCAUCAUCACUGCGAUACUGGUUCCCAACCGGGUGUUUUUUCAUGUUGGGGAACAGAUGAUAGUCAGAUGGAGCCAAAUCAGGAGAAUAGGGAAGAGGAUUAACCAGCUCAAAGCCACAGCCACGCACAGUAGCCAUUUAAAAUAGGGACAUGUGUGCUGGGGCAUUUUCCUCAUAAAACAGGACCUUAUAUGAUUAGUUUUUCGAGACCUUCGGUCUCGAUAGCCUUUCGUAACUGCCUAAGCAAGUUAGCAUAGUACUCUCCAUAGUUGGUAUAGUACUCACCAUUUUGUAGCUCUUUUAAAGAUGGUCAAUAAAUAUAAUGCCUUUUACAUUUCAAAAAAACUGGGGCUAAUACCUCCCCUGGCCUCUUUUGGAGCAGGUGAAGAAGGGUGUUUCCACUUACAUGCAUAGUCUUCUUUCUUUGAUAUAAUCAGCCUGAUGCGUUUUUGAUCGGAAGACGUGACAGCCACCAAGCAGAAACCUUCGUCAUGCCAAGUUCAUUGUGCAGAAUAUUCUCAACUCUCUCACGAGAUAUGCUAAUAACAUAAGCUAUUUGAUUUAUAGUCACGCGCCAUCACCAUGUGGUGAACACGAUUAACGUUUUCCUCUGGGGUGGCAGCUGCAGGACCUCCAGACCUUGUGUUAGCUUCAAGACUCUCCCUCCUUCUCCUAAUUUCUGCCCACUUUUGCACAGUUCAUAAAGACGGGGUGACCAUUCUCUAAAGUAGUAAGCAUGUCAGCAUUAAUGUCCUUAGGGGCUAAACCCAUUUUCUGCAGGUAUUUGAUUACACUACAAUGUCCAAUUUUGUUUAUUUUCAAGAAAAUUCGCUGCUAGUUACAUUUGAGUUCUUCUUUAAGAAGCCAGAUGUCAGUUUACAAGUAAUGCAGUUAUUAAUAAAAUCAGUUUUUCAGGUAUUGCCAAAUUUAGAGACCACCCAGGAAAUAGAAUGAUUAUAAAAGCAAAGAAAGAAAUGCUUAGAGAAUAACAGCAAAUAAAUGGAUUAUCAACAUGUGUGAUAUGGCACUAGACUAUACAAAGAAAUGAAGAUAUUUUGCCAAUCGGCAUGAUUUAGUCAUGAAAUACUACAAUAAUAAAUGAUGUGUCGAAGAAUGACAGCCUGUUGUCCAUGCCCUGAAGAUCAAACAUACCACGCUUUUCAAAUAUAUAAAACAGAAGGAAAAAGUAAAUGAAAAUAAAAUAAAAUGAAGUAAAUUUAUGAAUAAAAAAUGGCUACUGU